rnacentral:rRNA from 1 species
UACGGAGGUUGCAAGCGUUGUUCGGAAUGACUGGGCGUAAAGGGAGCGCAGGCGGCCAAGUCAGUCUGAAGUGAAAGCCCGGGGCUUAACCCCGGAAUAGCUUUGGAUACUGCCUGGCUUGAGUGUGCGAUAGGAAAGCGGAAUUCCAGGUGUAGCGGUGAAAUGCGUAGAUAUCUGGAGGAACACCGGUGGCGAAAGCGGCUUUCUGGCGCAUAACUGACGCUGAGGCGCGAAAGUGUGGGGAGCAAACAGGAUUAGAUACCCU